CCUACGGGUGGCAGCAGUGAGGAAUAUUGGUCAAUGGGCGCGAGCCUGAACCAGCCAAGUAGCGUGAAGGAUGACUGCCCUACGGGUUGUAAACUUCUUUUAUAAAGGAAUAAAUUUAGGCACGUGUUCUUUUUUGUAUGUACCUUAUGAAUAAGGCUCGGCUAACUCCGUUCCAGCAUCCGCCGUAAUACGGAGGAGCCGAGCGUUAUCCGGAUUUAUUGUGUUUAAAGGGUGCGUAGAUGGGUUGUUAAGUCAGUUGUGAAAGUUUGUGGCUCAACAGUAAAAUUGCAAUUGAUACUGGUAGGCUUGAGUAUAUUUGAGGUAGGCGGAAUUCGUGGUGUAGCGGUGAAAUGCUUAGAUAUCACGAAGAACUCCGAUUGCGAAGGCAGCUUACUAAGCUGUGACUGACAUUGAUGCUCGAAAGUGUGGGUAUCAAACAGGAUUAGAUACCCCUGUAGUC
rnacentral:rRNA from 1 species